rnacentral:lncRNA from 13 species
UGGAAGCUGACAAGUCCAAAAUCUGCAGGCUGGGCAGAAACCAAAGAGAAGCUGUAUGAGGACCUGUUCAGGGAAGUCUUCACCAAAGCUGAUCGUGCUGGCACUCUAAUCUUGGACUUCGUUUCCAGAACUAUGAGAAAUAAAUGUCUUAAG